rnacentral:tRNA from 1 species
CGGGGUGUAGCGCAGUCCGGUUAGCGCAUCUGGUUUGGGACCAGAGGGUCGGGAGUUCGAAUCUCUCCACCCCGACAA